rnacentral:rRNA from 1 species
AACGAACGCUGGCGGCAUGCCUAACACAUGCAAGUCGAACGAGACCUUCGGGUCUAGUGGCGCACGGGUGCGUAACGCGUGGGAAUCUGCCCUUGGGUGCGGAAUAACAGUUAGAAAUGACUGCUAAUACCGCAUAAUGACUCCGGUCCAAAGAUUUAUCGCCCAGGGAUGAGCCCGCGUCGGAUUAGCUAGUUGGUAGGGUAAAAGCCUACCAAGGCAACGAUCCGUAGCUGGUCUGAGAGGAUGAUCAGCCACACUGGGACUGAGACACGGCCCAGACUCCUACGGGAGGCAGCAGUGGGGAAUAUUGGACAAUGGGCGAAAGCCUGAUCCAGCAAUGCCGCGUGAGUGAUGAAGGCCUUAGGGUUGUAAAGCUCUUUUACCCGGGAUGAUAAUGACAGUACCGGGAGAAUAAGCCCCGGCUAACUCCGUGCCAGCCGCCGCCGUAAAAC